rnacentral:rRNA from 1 species
AGAUGACGCUGCGGCGUGCUUAACACAUGCAAGUCGAACGAUGAUCUCCAGCUUGCUGGGGGGAUUAGUGGCGAACGGGUGAGUAACACGUGAGUAACCUGCCCUUGACUCUGGGAUAAGCCUGGGAAACUGGGUCUAAUACCGGAUACGACCGUCCCGCGCAUGCGGUGGUGGUGGAAAGCUUUUGCGGUUUUGGAUGGACUCGCGGCCUAUCAGCUUGUUGGUGGGGUAAUGGCCUACCAAGGCGACGACGGGUAGCCGGCCUGAGAGGGUGACCGGCCACACUGGGACUGAGACACGGCCCAGACUCCUACGGGAGGCAGCAGUGGGGAAUAUUGCACAAUGGGCGAAAGCCUGAUGCAGCGACGCCGCGUGAGGGAUGACGGCCUUCGGGUUGUAAACCUCUUUCAGUAGGGAAGAAGCGAAAGUGACGGUACCUGCAGAAGAAGCGCCGGCUAACUACGUGCCAGCAGCCGCGGUAAUACGUAGGGCGCAAGCGUUAUCCGGAAUUAUUGGGCGUAAAGAGCUCGUAGGCGGUUUGUCGCGUCUGCUGUGAAAGACCGGGGCUCAACUCCGGUUCUGCAGUGGGUACGGGCAGACUAGAGUGAUGUAGGGGAGACUGGAAUUCCUGGUGUAGCGGUGAAAUGCGCAGAUAUCAGGAGGAACACCGAUGGCGAAGGCAGGUCUCUGGGCAUUAACUGACGCUGAGGAGCGAAAGCAUGGGGAGCGAACAGGAUUAGAUACCCUGGUAGUCCAUGCCGUAAACGUUGGGCACUAGGUGUGGGGGACAUUCCACGUUUUCCGCGCCGUAGCUAACGCAUUAAGUGCCCCGCCUGGAGAG